rnacentral:rRNA from 1 species
AUACGGAGGGUCCGAGCGUUAAUCGGAAUUACUGGGCGUAAAGCGCGCGUAGGCGGAUAUUUAAGUCAGAUGUGAAAUCCCUGGGCUCAACCUAGGAACUGCAUUUGAAACUGGAUAUCUAGAGUAUGGUAGAGGUGAGUGGAAUUUCAGGUGUAGCGGUGAAAUGCGUAGAGAUCUGAAGGAACAUCAGUGGCGAAGGCGACUCACUGGGCCAUUACUGACGCUGAGGUGCGAAAGCGUGGGUAGCAAACAGGAUUAGAAACCCCGGUAGUCC